rnacentral:rRNA from 1 species
UUCAACGGAGAGUUUGAUCCUGGCUCAGGACGAACGCUGGCGGCGUGCUUAACACAUGCAAGUCGAGCGGUAAGGCCCUUCGGGGUACACGAG